AGAUUAAACAUAAGAGUUUGAUCCUGGCUCAGAUUGAACGCUGGCGGCAUGCUUUACACAUGCAAGUCGAACGGCAGCACGGAGAGCUUGCUCUCUGGUGGCGAGUGGCGAACGGGUGAGUAAUGCAUCGGAACGUACCGAGUAAUGGGGGAUAACUGUCCGAAAGGAUGGCUAAUACCGCAUACGCCCUGAGGGGGAAAGCGGGGGAUCUUAGUGACCUCGCGUUAUUUGAGCGGCCGAUGUUGGAUUAGCUAGUUGGUGGGGUAAAGGCCUACCAAGGCGACGAUCCAUAGCGGGUCUGAGAGGAUGAUCCGCCACAUUGGGACUGAGACACGGCCCAAACUCCUACGGGAGGCAGCAGUGGGGAAUUUUGGACAAUGGGGGGAACCCUGAUCCAGCCAUGCCGCGUGUCUGAAGAAGGCCUUCGGGUUGUAAAGGACUUUUGUUAGGGAAGAAAAGCCGGGUGUUAAUACCACCUGGUGCUGACGGUACCUAAAGAAUAAGCACCGGCUAACUACGUGCCAGCAGCCGCGGUAAUACGUAGGGUGCGAGCGUUAAUCGGAAUUACUGGGCGUAAAGCGAGCGCAGACGGUUAAUUAAGUCAGAUGUGAAAUCCCCGAGCUCAACUUGGGACGUGCAUUUGAAA
rnacentral:rRNA from 1 species